rnacentral:rRNA from 1 species
UGGGGAAUUUUGGACAAUGGGCGAAAGCCUGAUCCAGCAAUGCCGCGUGUGAAGAAGGCCUUCGGGUUGUAAAGCACUUUUGUCCGGAAAGAAAUCCUUGGCUCUAAUACAGUCGGGGGAUGACGGUACCGGAAGAAUAAGCACCGGCUAACUACGUGCCAGCAGCCGCGGUAAUACGUAGGGUGCAAGCGUUAAUCGGAAUUACUGGGCGUAAAGCGUGCGCAGGCGGUUUGCUAAGACCGAUGUGAAAUCCCCGGGCUCAACCUGGGAACUGCAUUGGUGACUGGCAGGCUAGAGUAUGGCAGAGGGGGGUAGAAUUCCACGUGUAGCAGUGAAAUGCGUAGAGAUGUGGAGGAAUACCGAUGGCGAAGGCAGCCCCCUGGGCCAAUACUGACGCCCAUGCACGAAAGCGUGGGGAGCAAACAGGAUUAGAUACCCUGGUAGUCCACGCCCUAAACGAUGUCAACUAGUUGUUGGGGAUUCAUUUCCUUAGUAACGUAGCUAACGCGUGAAGUUGACCGCCUGGGGAGUACGGUCGCAAGAUUAAAACUCAAAGGAAUUGACGGGGUCAUAGCUGUUUCCU